rnacentral:rRNA from 1 species
AUUGAACGCUGGCGGCAUGCCUUACACAUGCAAGUCGAACGGCAGCACGGGUCCUUGCACCUGGUGGCGAGUGGCGAACGGGUGAAUAAUACAUCGGAACGUACCUUAUCGUGGGGGAUAACGCAGCGAAAGCUGUGCUAAUACCGCAUACGCCCUGAGGGGGAAAGCGGGGGAUCGCAAGACCUCGCGCGAUUAGAGCGGCCGAUGCCUGAUUAGCUUGUUGGUGGGGUAAAAGCCCACCAAGGCGACGAUCAGUAGCUGGUCUGAGAGGACGAGCAGCCACACUGGGACUGAGACACGGCCCAGACUCCUACGGGAGGCAGCAGUGGGGAAUUUUGGACAAUGGGGGCAACCCUGAUCCAGCAAUGCCGCGUGAGUGAAGAAGGCCUUCGGGUUGUAAAGCUCUUUUGUCAGGGAAGAAACACCGGCUCUAACACAGUCCGGGAAUGACGGUACCUGAAGAAUAAGCACCGGCUAACUACGUGCCAGCAGCCGCGGUAA